rnacentral:rRNA from 1 species
ACACGACUACAUUAGAUACCCGGGUAGUCCCAGCCCUAAACGAUGCGCGUUAGGUGUAUCGGUGACCACGAGUCACCGAGGUGCCGAAGGGAAACCGUGAAACGUGCCGCCUGGGAAGUACGGUCGCAAGGCUGAAACUUAAAGGAAUUGGCGGGGGAGCACCACAACGGGUGGAGCUUGCGGUUUAAUUGGAUUCAACGCCGGAAAUCUUACCGGGACCGACAGCAACAUGAAGGCCAGGCUGAAGACUUUGCCGGAUCAGCUG